AUAUGCAACUGGUCUUGUUUGAAAGCUGACAGUCCAGGCUUUCAUACAAGACCAGAAUGACUGCUCGAGUCCAAGCAACAGAAAUAGAGUCUGGAAUAAUCGCGGGUAAAAUCUGCUUUUACUUUCAGCUUCAUUCACAGCAUCCCGAUUUCUAUCAUUUAUAUCUUCCCCUGUACUGAACAGAUUUGUAAUUCUGGUAUUGUCUGAAAGCUUGGAAUGUCAGCUUUCAGACAAUAUUUCUAGCUGGUACCAAACCAGAGAUAUAAGCAGCUAAAGCCCCCGUCAGUCUGGAAGAGAAUGAGGGACGGCUGGCUAUUAAGAGGUUAAAAGAAAUGCUUUCUGAUUUAAUGUAAUUGCAGGGCUUGUCUCUGGUUAGCUGUAUGUUGGGAUACACACUGAUCUGGGUACUGUGGGAAGUUAUCUGCGUUCUGAUUGGUCCUGCUAGUUUAUGUGAGGAGAGCAAGGGCUUAUGAUAGCAAGGGCUAAAGAUCAUCACAGGAAGAGGAGCAGAGGCCAUCUUAGGAAGUUGCUGAAAUAGAGGCACAGAGAAAUAUGGUUGCUAAGGGCUAAAUACAGACAUCAGAAAGGUAAAAGCUGAAAGAUGCAGCUUCAUGAAUAUCUUUCCUUUAGCAUCACAUAUGUUAGGAAUUUCAUUUUUGGUAGUGAAAUGGCAGUUACACUUUAAAGCAUCACAGAUAAUUCUAGACUUAGAUUUCAGACUGUGGACUUAAUCUAACAACCCAGCCACAAAUGAUUUUCAUUUGCAAACUGUGCAAUGUGAGAAGUGAUGGAAAUGUUUCCGUUAUUGCUGCCUCAUUUCAGAAGAACGUGUCAUGUUCCCUUCCCAGGAGGAUAUUUUAUUGUGAUGUUGAAAUGUUCAUGGGAAAAUAUUCCAUAUCUGUGUACUGUGGAAAAAAAUGCAUUAUGUACGUCUCCCUUGUCCCUCAGAGCAGAGUGUUUGGGAAGGGAUUUAGUUUAACAGGGAUGUACCAGAAUUAAACCAACCUAAACUGAUGGGUUAAUGCAAAGAACAUGUUAAUACCGACUAUAUCUCUGUAAGAUAUGUGUUCAACCUGAUAUGUGCUGUGACAAUAAGACACUUCAAAUAAAAUAAUUAUACAGGUGAUUGUCUAUAUUGAGAUUUUGUGUUUUGUACGGGAAAUUCUGAUGUAACACAGAGCAAUGAGUCUGUACUUAAAGGGGAUGUAGCCUGGAGAUGACAUCGAUUUCUGUGGGACAAUGUUGUGGGCGUGCUGUGUGACUUGUGCAGCGAGGGAGAGGCGGUGAGCUGUGACAAACCUCUAUUAUGAAUGGGCUAUUCCUAUUCUAGCUGUACAUAGGUGUUACCUUUCAUUGUAAUACUUAAAGGGAACCAGUUUUAUGGUGUCCUCACUAAGCACAGACAGAUCCCCUUAGCAAAACGCUGGGUCACUUUCUUUAAUUGACUGAGCCGAUUGGCCAAAAUCUUAUAUUGAACACUCCAGCGCAUAACGACUCCCCUUGAAUAUUCAUGAGCUCCUGGCUUUCCCUGCCCACCUGGGCGAGGAGAGCUAUGGGGUCAUGAAUAUGGGGACUCUGCAUGCGCUGGAGCCGUUAGGAUUUAAAAGUGAGAGUAGCAUAAAACUGCUGACAUUCCCUUUAAGAUAUGUUUUAAUAACACUUGAUUUAAUAUUAACACAUUACCUUUUAUGAAAUAAUUUGCGUCAUAUUUUUGAUCAUAUGACAUUUCAUCUUUUGUUUGAAGUAGCCCCUGAAGGAAAUGUCAUAGGUCAUCUGAUGUUUCCUCUGACGCAGUCAACUUCCCCUGAGAGAGGAAGUAAAGACUCAUGGGAAAUGUAGUUGUUAGCCCAAGACAGUCCAGUCUUAGAAGCAGCGUCUCAAAAAAAAAAGGUCAAAAAAGUUGGGUAUUAGAAAGUGGAAACCUGGGACAAGCUAUUUACGUACAUGUUAUGGAGGGCAGCUGAGUAGGUGUAUAGAGAAG